rfam:Oryza glaberrima chromosome 3 Oglab03_0115_12, whole genome shotgun sequence.
AAAAAAGACAAAUACUGGUUUCCGUGCCCAACGUUUGACUGUCCGUCUUAUUUGAAAAAAUAUAAUUUUUUUUUAAAAAAAGUCACGCAUAAAAUAUUAAUCAUAUUUUAUCAUCUAACAACAAUAAAAAUACGAAUUAUAAAAAAAUUUCAUAUAAGACCAACGAUCAAAAGUUACACAAGAAAAACCAGGCUUUGACUUUUG